rnacentral:rRNA from 1 species
UCUGGUUGAUCCUGCCAGUAGUCAUAUGCUUGUCUCAAAGAUUAAGCCAUGCAUGUCUAAGUACAAACCUUAAUACGGUGAAACCGCGAAUGGCUCAUUAAAUCAGCUAUGGUUCCUUAGAUCGUCUCAUCCUACUCGGAUAACUGUGGAAAAUCUAGAGCUAAUACGUGCUUACAAGCCCUGACCUCACGGAGGGGCGCGCAUUUAUUAGAUCAAAACCAAUCGGGGCUUGCCCCGUCUGCUUGGUGACUCUGGAUAACUUUUGUGCUGAUCGCAUGGCCUCUGCGCUGGCGACGUAUCUUUCAAGUGUCUGCCCUAUCAACUUACGAUGGUAGGUGAUAUGCCUACCAUGGUUAUAACGGGUAACGGGGAAUCAGGGUUCGAUUCCGGAGAGGGAGCCUGAGAAACGGCUACCACAUCUAAGGAAGGCAGCAGGGCGCGCAAAUUACCCACUCCCGGCACGGGGAGGUAGUGACGAAAAAUAACGAUACGGGACUCUUUUGAGGCCCCGUAAUUGGAAUGAGUACACUUUAAAUCCGUUAACAAGUAUCUAUUGGAGGGCAAGUCUGGUGCCAGCAGCCGCGGUAAUUCCAGCUCCAAUAGCGUAUAUUAAUGUUGCUGCAGUUAAAAAGCUCGUAGUUGGAUCUGAGGACUCGAAUUGGUGGUGCACCAUACGGUGUUACUGCCGAUUCGGCCUACCUAGUCGGUGCUCGCUCUUGGUGUUCUUAAUUGAAUGCCCUGAGUGCCCGGCAAGUUUACUUUGAAAAAAUUAGAGUGCUCAAAGCAGGCCAUUAGCCGGAAUACUUCAGCAUGGAAUAAUGGAAUAGGACUUCGGUUCUAUUUUGUUGGUUUUCGGAACCCGAGGUAAUGAUUAAGAGAGACAGACGGGGGCAUUCGUACUGCGGUGUUAGAGGUGAAAUUCUUGGAUCGCCGCAAGACGAACAACUGCGAAAGCAUUUGCCAAGAAUGUUUUCAUUAAUCAAGAACGAAAGUCAGAGGUUCGAAGACGAUCAGAUACCGUCCUAGUUCUGACCAUAAACGAUGCCAACUGGCGAUCCGAGAUCGUUUGCUUAUUGACCUCUCGGGCAGCCUCCGGGAAACCAAAGUUUUUAGGUUCCGGGGGAAGUAUGGUUGCAAAGGGAAGAGUUUCCAGUAUGGUUGCAAAGCUGGAAACUGUUCAAUUGCAACUCUGCUGUGACACCAAGUGGUCGGGUUACUUGGUCUGUUCUGGCCCGGAGUCGGUAGGGUUUCCGGCCUUGUGCUCUUUUCCUUACUGUUCUCUGUAACGCCGAAGGCGGGGCUUCCACGGUGGGGAAGCGGUUGUACAAAUCCGGCAAAUCCAGCCAAAUGGGUUCCGGACUCUGUCCAACCUGCAACUGGUAACAGCCUCGGCUGGCUAACAUUUGAGCUGGGACUCGCUUGGGAGGAGCGAGGAUAAUAUAAACCUCUAUGUGACUGAGGUGAGGAAUCUGGUUCUCGUAAAAUGGCUGGAGAUCCCGAGCCUGUAAGUCAUAAAUUAGUUCCCCCACGAGGGGAGGUGUCGAAUUGAAGCCAGUGCGUGCCCUUACUAGUUUAAGGGAUUGUAUACUUCCUUUGGUGUACCCACCUGGAAGUGCCCAAGGGGUCCUAUCCCUGCACUCCAACCCCGAUUGGAGUCAGGUGACGGCUCCUUACCUCACCAGACGCGGCCGGACCCCGGAAGGGGUCUGGGCCCCGAAGCCUGACGGCGUCGGGGUGCAGGAAGCCUCUAGGCGACCAGC